rnacentral:rRNA from 1 species
GACGAACGCUGGCGGCGUGCUUAACACAUGCCAGUCGAACGGAAAGGCCCUGCUUUUGUGGGGUGCUCGAGUGGCGAACGGGUGAGUAACACGUGAGUAACCUGCCCUUGACUUUGGGAUAACUUCAGGAAACUGGGGCUAAUACCGGAUAGGAGCUCCUGCUGCAUGGUGGGGGUUGGAAAGUUUCGGCGGUUGGGGAUGGACUCGCGGCUUAUCAGCUUGUUGGUGGGGUAGUGGCUUACCAAGGCUUUGACGGGUAGCCGGCCUGAGAGGGUGACCGGCCACAUUGGGACUGAGGUACGGCCCAGACUCCAACGGGAGGCAGCAGUGGGGAAUAUUGCACAAUGGGCGGAAGCCUGAUGCAGCAACGCCGCGUGCGGGAUGACGGCCUUCGGGUUGUAAACCGCUUUCGCCUGUGACGAAGCGUGAGUGACGGUAAUGGGUAAAGAAGCACCGGCUAACUACGUG